AUUGAACGCUGGCGGCAUGCCUUACACAUGCAAGUCGAACGGUAACAGGUCUUCGGAUGCUGACGAGUGGCGAACGGGUGAGUAAUACAUCGGAACGUGCCCGAUCGUGGGGGAUAACGAAGCGAAAGCUUUGCGAAUACCGCAUAAGAUCUAAGGAUGAAAGCAGGGGACCGCAAGGCCUGGCGCGAACGGAGCGGCCGAUGGCAGAUUAGGUAGUUGGUGGGAUAAAAGCUUACCAAGCCGACGAUCUGUAGCUGGUCGGAGAGGACGACCAGCCACACUGGGACUGAGACACGGCCCAGACUCCUACGGGAGGCAGCAGUGGGGAAUUUUGGACAAUGGGCGCAAGCCUGAUCCAGCCAUGCCGCGUGUAGGAUGAAGGCCUUCGGGUUGUAAACCGCUUUUGUACGGAACGAAAAGACUCUGGUUAAUACCUGGGGUUCAUGACGGUACCGUAAGAAUAAGCACCGGCUAACUACGUGCCAGCCGCCGCAGUAA
rnacentral:rRNA from 1 species